AACGAACGCUGGCGGCAUGCCUAACACAUGCAAGUCGAACGAAGCCUUCGGGACUAGUGGCGCCCGGGUGCGUAACGCGUGGGAACCUGCCCUUAUGUUCGGAAUAACUCCCCGAAAGGGGUGCUAAUACCGGAUCAUGUCUUCUGACCAAAGAUUUAUCGCCCUAGGAUGGGCCCGCGUUGGAUUAGCUAGUUGGUAGGGUAAUAGCCUAUCAAGGGGACGAUCCAUAGCUGGUCUGGGAGGCAGAUCAGCCACACUGAGACUAAGACACGGCCCGGAAUCCUCCGCAAGGCAGGAGUGGGGGAUAUUGGAACACCGGCGGAAGCCUGAAGCACCUAUGCCACGAGAGUGAUGUUAGCAUUGGGGAUGUAAUGCUUUUUUAACCGGGAUGAUAAUGACAGUACCGGGAGAAUAAGCCCCGGCUAACUCCGUG
rnacentral:rRNA from 1 species